GGGUAAUUGUUUGUUGUUUUUUGUUGGGGGCCUAAUUUUGCAGAUAUUUUCAGUUUGAUUUUGAGGACUGUGAUAACUAGAUUUUUGCACUGGAAAAUGUUAGUGGUGCUUGCCGUGAUUUUGAAUUUGGACUUACAACUCAAUGGCAUUGCUAGUUCAUUCUGGGUGAUGACUAUGGUAUUUUUUUAUGGGGUUUAUGAGUAUAGGGGUUUAAGAGUGGUUAUGAACGAAUGACUGAAACACAUUUGUGUGUGUUUCACAUCGUCUGGAAUCGUGCGCCCGGAAACCGCUUGAGAAACAGUGCCACUUCCGUGACUCGGUAUGCUUUCAACUUGUUUUUUUAGUCUUGAGCAAGACUGUAUGACAUUCACAUUACAUAAUUUGACUGAUUUUUACGUAGAAAGGGCGACAGCGCACCGCAUUAAAAGAAAUGAUUAUUCAUGUUUUCAUAACCGCUGGCCAAAUUCAAAAACGAAACUAAAAUCAAAUCAUCUUUGAGAGCAAGGUGGUAUUUCGGGGGCCCAACGCAGCUUGCGUAUUUUGUGUAUAGGGAGGGUCAGCUCUGACAGUCACGAUACAGUGUAUAGAAAAAGACAGGACGAUGAAGACGAAUAAGUUUAAACACACUUUAAUAAUUCCAUGACAGGUAAUCUCCAGUGAGGAGAGACGAAGGGUGACUUAGGAGGAGGACACAAGGAGUGGAGAAGGGAUGGUGACAGAGGAUGGCAAAGGGCUGACAGGAAGGCAGGCAUACCAGACAGGUGGAGGCUCUGGUGGAGGAUGGACUCCCGGAAGGACUAACACGCCACUGUGGAGAUGAGGAAGAUAGGAGCCACUGAGGAGCCGCUGUGUCCAAGGGCCAAAGCGGAGUCAAGGACUCAGAGGCUGGAGGUGGAGACAAGGGAUCCUCCAGCCACGAUGCCGAUGGAGACUGGCAGACCCGCGGCGAUCCCACCGCACAGAUGGUGGGCUCAGGGUGAGCAGAGGGGCUGCCAGGAAACAGGCAAUGGCAAUGGGGCAAUGGUGAAGCAGGCUGAGGAGGUGAAGGGUGCCAAUCCAUGAUUCUGUGAGUGGAAAGAUGGGGCAGAAUGCGGAAUGGAGAGUAGACGAAUGAGGUCAGCCCUCUGCGUUUGAAGCGACAAAUCGGCCGUCAGCGCGCAUGUCGGAUACCAGGCACCAUAGCGUUCUGUCUUUCUCUCUCUCUCUCUCUCUGCAGAUGUUCUCUCUACCUAUUCAGCAGGUACUGUAUAUCUCUAUCUGCACUUUCACACACAUGCACACAAAAACACAUGAGCAGCAAGCUGUCUCUUUAUGCAACAUUUAAAGGUA
ensembl:lncRNA